rnacentral:rRNA from 1 species
CCUACGGGAGGCAGCAGUGAGGAAUAUUGGUCAAUGGACGAGAGUCUGAACCAGCCAAGUAGCGUGAAGGAUGACUGCCCUAUGGGUUGUAAACUUCUUUUAUAAAGGAAUAAAACGAGGCACGUGUGCCUUUUUGCAUGUACUUUAUGAAUAAGGAUCGGCUAACUCCGUGCCAGCAGCCGCGGUAAUACGUAGGAGGCAAGCGUUAUCCGGAAUGACUGGGCGUAAAGGGUGCGUAGGUGGUUUGACAAGUUAGUAGCGCAACUCCGGAGCUCAACUUCGGAACUACUACUAAAACUGUUGGACUUGAGUGCAGGAGGGGCAAUCGGAAUUCCUAGUGUAGCGGUGGAAUGCGUAGAUAUUAGGAGGAACACCAGUGGCGAAGGCGGAUUGCUAGACUGUAACUGACACUGAGGCACGAAAGCGUGGGGAGCAAACAGGAUUAGAUACCCGGGUAGUC